AGAGUUUGAUCCUGGCUCAGAUUGAGCGCUGGCGGAAUGCUUUACACAUGCAAGUCGAGCGGCAGCAUGGACUUCGGUCUGAUGGCGAGCGGCGAACGGGUGAGUAAUGUAUAGGAACAUACCCAGUAAUGGGGGAGUAACGCCGAGAAAUACGGUGCUAAUACCGCAUACGCCCUCGAGGGGGAAAGGACGGGGGAGUCUUCGGACCUCGCGUUAUUGGAUUGGCCUAUAUCUGAUUAGCUAGUUGGU
rnacentral:rRNA from 1 species